CGCUUCUCUUCGACUCUACGGGCUUUUGUAAGCGAUUUCAUGCCCGAUCAAAGCAUGAAAGUGUAAAUUAUGCUCUAUUUUGUUUUAGAUAGUUGUUAAUUAGGGUUUCCUGAGUUAUGUCAAAGGUGUUAUUUGAUAUGUUUCGCUGAUUCGUUGGGAUUAAUUUUCUGGUUGUGUGGGUGACCCUAUCCGAUUUAUGAUUAUGAGAUAAUGUUGGCUUUAUUGGAUCUCGUACAUGUUUAAAUGAUACAUUCAGGUGUGUUUUCUUAUAAAAGCAUCCUAAAGAUGGAUGAGACUAUGAAGCAAUUUCAGCAAAGCUUGGUUGAGCUUGAAACUGAAAUCGAAGCUGAGCACCUCCUUUUAGCCCGGCAUCAGGUGGUUGAAAAUGAUAAAAUGAGGAAUGGGAACAGGGAAGCACUUACGGCGCUGAGGAGGAGAGCUCGGACAACAAAAACUAGUGUUCCUUCACCCUAUCAGUCGAUCAUGAAGGAUAUUGGGAGGUCUGCAUCAAGGCCUUUGGUGAAGGAGGUAUGUGCAACAUGUGGCAACCAUGACCCAGAUGAGCGCACAUGGAUGAUGUUCCAAGGAACUGAUGUCUUUGCUAGUAUGCCAUUUCAUGCUGCUCACACCAUCUUGGAUGCAGAUCAAGAACGACUUGACUAUGAGGCAAAAAAAUUACAAAGCUAUGUAAAGGAGAAGUCUUUUUUUAUUUCAGAAAAGGGUGCCCUUGCUGACAAAAUUAGUCCUGGUGUGCUCAGAUCUCUGGUAACGUUAACAGAUAAACCAAAAGAACAGGAUUGAGCUUCAUUUUAUCAUUC
rnacentral:misc_RNA from 1 species